AAACAUUAAAAAAAUUAUAUAAGAAUAAAAAAAAUAUCUUCAAAAAAUACACUCUCACAAAAACAAAUAAAAAAACCUAUAUUCAAAAAAGGUCAAAUAAAAAAAUAAAAAACCAUAGAGAUAUUAAUUGAAACAUAAAUUUAAAGAUAAUUUUAAAAAAGAUAUAUUAAAAAAAAAUUAUUAAUUAAAUUAAAACCCAAAAAAAUAAGAAAAA
rnacentral:lncRNA from 1 species